AGCCGCGUCCCGCGAUGUUGCAGGUGGGCCCGGGCCCCGUGAUGGCCCGGCUGGGCCGGUCUCCCGACGCAGUAAGAACCCCCUACCCGCUGCCUCCCAACCAGAACCGCUUGGCACACCUUCAGGCACAGAAUGUUUAUUGGCCACCUACUAUGCGCCAGGGGGAGACCAAGGCCAACAGCAUUCUCAUGCAGUCCUUGUCUGUUUCCCACUGAACCCUCCAGAGACCAGCAGGGAGGGCUGCUGAGACCAGAGAGCAGAGUCCUGGGCAGGCUGACUCAGUUGCUCGAAUCCUCCCUCCAAGGCCAAGAACACCUGUGAUCCUGGAUCAGGACAGCUUUCUCCUCCCAGAGGAAAGCUCGGACCCCUGCCAUCACCUCGCCGCUGAAUCCUGGUCAGUGUUCUGCCAGUUAACUGUGUUGCUCACAGUGGGAAGCUAGACCGGGGUGAUUCAUCAUCACGCAUCACCCCAUGGAAAGCUCAUCUACAGCGCACGUCGGAGGGACGGUACUGGGCGUUGCGUUUACAGACGGAGCUCAAAAUGUGCUGAGCGGCCUGUGCACGCAGCAACGUGCCCAGCCCGGGCACAUCCAGGAAGUCCUCCAGGCAUCUCUGACCAUUUCUCCAUCUUUCUCCCAGGGGCCUGCAGCCUCUACCGGUUUUCUGGCCCUUUUAAUUGCUUCCUCUCCAGAUGUCUCUCCUACCAGUGACGGAGUCUGGCCUGAUGGUCCCAGGGCCUUAUAUAUUCUGCCAGGGUUGAGGCCCCUCCCCUCCCCCACUCAGGAUGGACCAGCUCAGUCCUUACCCUGGUGUGGGCACAAGGUCUCUUGUUGCAGCUGGGCCCCUUGGCUGACCUUCUCAGCUCCUUCUCUAAGGCUGGAGAGGCCUGGCAGGAUGCCUGCAGGCUCCUCCCCUCCACUCCAGGGCUCUGGCCAGAGCCUGGUCAGGGUCCUUGCUGAGUUUCCAGCCAACCCCUGGAGUGAUGGCCUGAGGAGUCCAGUGGGGAAACCCCAGUGUGUAGGGCAGUAUUCCAUUGACUGUCCCCACCCCCUGAUUGGGCAAUGCCGGCUGGUCUCUGAAUAGCUUCUGGGUGGCCUUCCCGCCAGACCCCCUUGCCUACUUUCACCAGGUGCCAAGGAACACUGAAAAGGGCAGCGAAUGGCUAGGGGACCACGCUCAAAAGCCAGCCUGCCUCCCUCCCAAGCUGGCUCCUUUCCCUCCAGCCUCCUUUUCAUAGAAUUGUAUUACAGAAGGGGAUAUAGAGGUCAUCUCAUCCCUCCCCUGGCUUCCAGAAGGAAUAGUUUAGAGUGAUAUUGGGGUUCUCUGAGGCUUUACGCAAAACUCCGCACAUUGGGUUGGCCAGAGGUCUCACUGGAGUUUCCUUGGCAAUUCUGUGUCCAUUGGGACACCAGCCCUGAACGUCUGAGGCUCCCAGACGCUGGGAGAUGGGAUGACCCUGGUGUUCCCUGCAACCACUCAAAGUCUCUAUGGAUGGAAUGGCAGCCCCAGGACUGUCCCCCAGGGCUGACUGGUCUCUGAUAAGAGCCAGGUGUGGAUCCAGCUGCCAUUUGGGUCCCUUGGGGAGCUUUCACAGUAGCUGCUAAAUGGAGGUCCUGGAUGGUGGGGACUCACGCACACAGGUGCAGGUAGUGGUAGAAAGGGCAGGCGAUCAGUGUUCUAAGUCUACUCCUUCCACUAACCGUCUGUGUGACUUGAGGCACGCCUAAAUCUCUUGACACCUUAGUUUGCUCAUCUGGAAAACGCAACAUAUUUCAUUUGAGCUGCCUCACUUACCUCUGAGUUAUAUAAGGAGGGAAGAGCGAGAUAAUAUAUUAGGAUGUGUUCUGAAAAAAACAAAAGUGCUAUUCAUGCCAACACAAUGUAUUAAAAAUAAAAGAUGCCGGGGCUUCCCUGGUGGCGCAGUGGUUGAGAGCCCACCUGCCGAUGCAGGGGACGCGGGUUCGUGCCCCGGUCCGGGAAGAUCCCACAUGCCGCGGAGUGGCUGGGCCCGUGAGCCAUGGCCGCUGGGGCUGCGCGUCUGGAGCCUGUGCUCCGCAACGGGAGAGGCCACAACAGUGAGAGGCCCGCGUACCGCAAAAAAAAAAAAAAAGAAAAGAUGCCUAUUUGCUUCCCGAAGUAAAAGUUGUAAACGAUUUAAAUCAUAUUUUAACGACUCCAGAAACCCCUUUAUUUAAAGACAUUUCUUUCUUUUGUACAGUCAGGGGUCAAGCAUUUGGUGGGCUUCCACUGGGCGCCACCGACUCUGCCGGAUUUUGUGAUGAAUGUAAAAAACUGGAAGAUCCAGUGCCUGGUGCAGAGUAGGCAUUCAAUAAGUUAUCAUCGAAGGAAUGAAUAAGAGAGUUCUUCCUUCAGAGAGUUCAUAGUCCAGCCUGGAGGAAACUGGCAACCACCAACAAGAGGCAGAAUUGGAAGAGGGAGAAGGGCUGUCUGGGCUGGUGGGAUAACCCCAAUGUGAAACGGGCUCACAGGUGAGCACAGGUGUGAAGCCUAUGGUGGGCAGGUAAGGAGACCACCUUGAUGGGAGGAAGUAAGUCUCCCAGUGUGGGGUGGAGUGGGUGGGCGAGUUGAAGACAAUGAGCUUUCCUCUAGGGUGAGAGUCUGAAUGUAUUGGAAGCGGCUUAGAGGAAAGUGCCGCGGGAACCAGUGUGCAUCCUACGGGGAAGGGCUGUGUGCGUGACGUGAGGAUGAAACCAGUAUGUUUAGAAGAUGAGCCUGGCAUGGAAGUGCCUGAUGGGGACACACCAAACUUCUUGAAGUUCCCCAAAGCCUUCUUUUCCCUUUUUUGGCCAUCUCCCUGUUUCUGAUCAUUAGAAUGCCCCGCUGUCCCACGCCUGCCAAGGGAACACCUGCUGUUUCCCAUCACCAGAGUCACCUCUUCUGGGAAACCACUGUAGGUCAUUUCCUCCUGGGGGCCUCCAGAUGUACCCUGUAUACCAUUUUAUUUUUAUACUCAUUCCUUUUUAGGAUACUUAUUGGUUUUCACGUCUGGUUCCCCUUUCAGACUGUAAGUCUCUUGAAGUCUGAAUGUUUCCUGGUUGGCAAUGAUCUCUCCAGCAUUGGUCACAGUGCCCAGAACAGGGCUCCCACCUGCAUUGAUAUCACCUGGGGCACUGGGCAGGUAAGCAUCAGGUACUAAUAAUGCACCCUAAAGCUCAGAAACGCUGCAGCCCCCAUCACACAACUUCGUGGGACCCCCACCCACAAAGCUCAUACUGUGAAUAGCGCCCCCUGUGGUUGUGUACACAUCACAUCAGCCUCCUGUUUUUUGUUUGUUUGUUUGUUUGUUCUGCGGUAUGCAAGCCUCUCACUGUUGUGGGUGGGCUCUCCCAUUGCGGAGCACAGGCUCCGGACGCGCAGGCUCAGCGGCCAUGGCUCACGGGCCCAGCCGCUCCGCGGCAUGUGGGAUCUUCCCACACCAGGGCACGAACCCGUGUUCCCUGCAUCCUCAGUCGGACUCUCAACCACUGCGCCACCAGGGAAGCCCCCCUCGUGGGUUUUAUGUUUCAUGUCUAUACCUUCAUCAUCCUAUACAUUAUGGAUACCAAAUAGCAUUUUCUGUAUGAAAAGAAGAUUUGGGGGAGGCGAGGUGAAAGAGAGGAAACAUUUUAUUGUGUAAUGUAAAUAACGAACUUGCAUCGUUUGUUUCUUCUUUUAAGUCUAGGUUUUCCACCUUUCUCUAAGGCUGGGCCUGAUUAUUACAACGAAUAGCAGCUGUGAUCGUAUUUACGAGGAGAGCGCGCAGUUUUAGUAUUCAGAGCCCUGGCUUCAGAUGAGAGCCGGGGGCCUCUGAUUCUCUCUGCAAUGCAGCCUUCCAGGCCACUGCUGUUGCUUAAGGCUGUGCUGCAAUCCGGAGCACUCAGGAGUGGGAAGUCCAGAGUUCUCCCCACUUCUGGGAACAGCCCUCCAUCCCCCUCCCUGCGCCAGCUUCCACAGGCAGUCCUCAUGACAGUGGGUCAGGCUAACCCAGGGUUUCACAAAUGCCUGGCCUGUUCCCAGCACAGCACAGCUGGGAGGGCUCAGCACUGGGAGAAGGAGCACCGUCCUCCUCCCCCUGCCAUCCUCAGGCUGGGGCCCAGGGGCUGGAGCCCAGCAGAGGGAAGGGCUGCACUUGUCUGCACUUGCCCCAGUGCGGGCAGUGAUCCUGGGCCUUCCCUCCCUGCUAAUUUCCCAGCUCUGGCUUAGUCAAGUUUCAAGGAGGAUAUUCCCUUUCCCGGGAAGUGAGGAGGAUCCAGGCUUGUCUUCCCCAAAGGAAGCGAGUGGUCUCAGAGUCACCUGAGGAGGUGUUGCGUAUUGAGAUUCCCCACUCUCCUUGGGGCUUCUGAUUCAGAAAAGCUGAGCUUGGAGUCCGGGAAUCUGCAAUUUCAUCCACUCGCUGGGGACUAGCCGCAGGUGGUUCUUUGGCUUUCAUGAGCCUUGGGAGGGAGGCAGCUCUGGGAGGUGAGAAGGGUUGAGCCAAAAAAAACCCUGUUUUCUCAGGUAGGACCUCCGGCUCUCUCUAAUGAGCUCCAUGACCCUGGAAUAACUGCCCUUGUAAUCCAAGUCUCACUUUCACUAUCACUGAAAUGGAUGUGUGACCCGAGGGAAGGGUGAUCAAAUGUCCUGGACAUUCAGGGCUGCUAACCCAGGACAAGCUGGUCACCGUACCUGAGGAUGAGACAGGACUGUGGAUGUUCGAGGUACUGGAAAUGUGACUUAAAGAUGAGUCUUUGCGGCACAAAUA